rnacentral:misc_RNA from 1 species
AAGUCGUAACAAGGUUUCCGUAGGUGAACCUGCGGAAGGAUCAUUAACACGUAUCCAAACGUUAAAACAACCCUGUGAACCUUCAGCGUGUUCUUGUGCUAGUUAAAAGAGCAAUCUCGGGUAACUUAGCUGCCAAAGAAUUACAGAUAUUAACCUCCGAGACUUCUCUAAGUACGCUGGACGCACAAUUAUGGAUAUCUUGGUUCUC